AGUACGGCCGCAAGGUUAAAACUCAAAUGAAUUGACGGGGGCCCGCACAAGCAGUGGAGCAUGUGGUUUAAUUCGAUGCAACGCGAAGAACCUACCAGGCCUUGACAUCCUCGGAACUUUCUAGAGAUAGAUUGGUGCCUUCGGGAACCGAGUGACAGGUGCUGCGUGGCUGUCGUCAGCUCGUGUCGUGAGAUGUUGGGUUAAGUCCCGUAACGAGCGCAACCCUUGUCCUUAGUUGCCAGCACAUUAUGGUGGGAACUUUAAGGAGACUGCCGGUGACAAACCGGAGGAAGGAGAGGAUGAUGUCAAGUCAUCAUGGCCCUUACGGCCUGGGCUACACACGUGCUACAAUGGACAGUACAGAGGGCCGCAAUGCCGCGAGGUGGAGCAAAUCCCAAAAAACUGUUCGUAGUCCGGAUCGGAGUCUGCAACUCGACUCCGUGAAGUCGGAAUCGCUAGUAAUCGCGAAUCAGCAUGUCGCGGUGAAUACGUUCCCGGGCCUUGUACACACCGCCCGUCACAUCAUGGGAGUGGGCUGCAAAAGAAGUGGCUAGUCUAACCUUCGGGAGGACGGUCACCACUUUGUGGUUCAUGACUGGGAUGAAGUCGUAACAAGGUAACC
rnacentral:rRNA from 1 species